rnacentral:rRNA from 1 species
GACGAACGCUGGCGGCGUGCCUAAUACAUGCAAGUCGAACGCUGAAGGAGGAGCUUGCUCUUCUUGGAUGAGUUGCGAACGGGUGAGUAACGCGUAGGUAACCUGCCUGGUAGCGGGGGAUAACUAUUGGAAACGAUAGCUAAUACCGCAUAAUAGUAGAUGUUGCAUGACAUUUGCUUAAAAGGUGCAAUUGCAUCACUACCAGAUGGACCUGCGUUGUAUUAGCUAGUUGGUGAGGUAACGGCUCACCAAGGCAACGAUACAUAGCCGACCUGAGAGGGUGAUCGGCCACACUGGGACGGAGACACGGCCCAGACUCCUACGGGAGGCAGCAGUAGGGAAUCUUCGGCAAUGGACGGAAGUCUGACCGAGCAACGCCGCGUGAGUGAAGAAGGGUUUCGGAUCGUAAAGCUCGGUUGUAAGAGAAGAACGAGUGUGAGAGUGGAAAGUUCACACUGUGACGGUAUCUUACCAGAAAGGGACGGCUAACUACGUG